rnacentral:snoRNA from 1 species
CCCUUGGAUGAUGAUGAGCUGAUUCCUACAUCACCGGCGGCCUCGACAUGGACUACCAGCCGCUCGUGUCUGCUCUUGACGCGCGCCCUGCUUCUGAACCGGUAACCCUCGAUGAUCUCUUUGCCCAGAUGAGUAAUUUCGAUC